UUGUUACUGCUGUGUCAUUUCAGAGGCUGAAGUUGGUUAGUGCCCAGAGCAAACAUGUUUUCUUGGUUUACAUUUGCGGUCCUCCUCUCUCCUUGUAUAUGCAACAUUGAUGUUACCUGUUGUUGUUUCCUAUGCUACAGAAAUAAAGACUUGCUGAUAGAGCGGAGGCUGUAUCAGCUUACAUUAGCUUGUACCCAUCCGAACAAAUCUUCCUGUUUGCUUUCCGCUCACGUAACGAAGGAGAAAGAAGUCAUUAAUGGGCUUGAUGAAUCUUAUUCACAGUAAGCUAGCUUAACAACGAGCAUCUGGGAACCAUUUUGCCUCCUCUAAACUGUCUUCCUGGGAAGGUUCUACCACAUUAAUAACACUUCAGAGCUUUUAUUUGCAUUUAUAUUAAAUCUGCUGCUGCUGCUGCCUCCCAUUACGACUCCCUGCUGCGUGUGGGUGAAGAUGCACUGUAAGAUGGCACCCUCCUCCUUCUUCCCCAGCUCAGCCACCUCUAUUUUCUGCUGCAGGAUGCUCAGCUGGUGUCGCAGAGCUGGGAAGAGAGCCAGCAGCCUGAUGAGCUCAACCAGCACGCAGCCCUCACACCGCAGCAGUGGGAUGUCUCCCUGCGCUACCGCUCACAACCGCACGGGAGGGUAAUGCCAGGUCCAAGGGUUGAGGGCUGCUAGGAAAAGCAGCUAUGGCAGCGGCUCCUUCUGUAACUUCCUCUUCUCUUUUACAAGGGCCGGAAAAGUCUCUGCAAGGAACAGAGAGAUGGCACAGGCUGCUCCAAGAGAGCCACCUCCUCAGGUCCCAGCACAGCCGAGGAGCUGGCAUGAUCGAGGCAGGACUAGACCAUAACAAAGACAGCUGGGAGUAUAAGGAGAUGCUUAGCUUCAGCUUAUCGCAAGGCACAUGCCACUCACUGGUCCUUAUUCUCCCGCUAGCUUAGAAGACAUUCUCCUCAGGGGCCAACUCCUGCCACAGUGUGCAGGUGGCACUGCUGUUCUUUCAUAGGAUCUCCUACUCUCCUGGAGAGAGAAAAAAAUCAAGGCAGAACAUGCUAGAUCUUUGCCCUUGUGGAAGAUGGUUUAUCUAGAGCCACCCGCUCACUUCUGCUUGCAUUUCCUGCCUCCUGCAAAAUAAAAUCUAAUUUAUUUAAGGAUACUGUUGGCUGUACAACCAAGGUUUGAUUUCAGAUGGCAAAAUCAAGUCUGUCAGGUAGCUUUGCCCUCUUCAACAAUUAUGGUGAUUAUUUGUGUUGGCUCUAAUAGUCUUUCCAGCCAGUAAUGAGAGCCACCAUCCAAUUUUAAAACUCCACAGAUCUGGGUGUUAUUAUCCUUGAGGAAAACUGCCAUGGGCCAUGCUUUAAAGUUCCUCAUUAACCAAAAGAACAACUUUACUGUUUGCUUACAUUUGCAAGCAAACAAGCUGGGUUUCGCACAAAGAGAGUGAACCACAUUACCUUAGUGCUUCUCUCUGAUGGUUUUGCUUUCCUUAGCCUGCAGAAGGGCCCAGGAGCUGAACAACCACAGAAACAAGCCUAUGUAGGAGUAACUGGUGGAGGAAGGGGGGUUAACAUGAAGGAUUUCUGCAAGGUUAAAGGAGCUGCCAAAUGCUGAAGAUGAGGGCUUGAAACAAAACAACACCCCAGAAAUCUACCUUUCAAACCUGAAAUUGUGGCACAUCCAGCUUUUUCACAUUGUUGUUUCUGUGACAGCUCCACACAGAGCUGUGUUAGACCAGCUCACAUACACUGCAGCGUGUACAGAGGUUUUAAGGAGACAUGUGCUGUAUACACAUUUUGCUCAACUACUUUUUCAAACACUGUUUCCAUUCUUUCAAGAAGCAAAAGGUCAUUCUCUUUUUUUUUCCAUGUUUUUUUUUUUUAAAUUUGGAAGCAAGAUCAAACUGAAAAAGAAGGGACUUGGUCUUUGAACUGUUCUAUUUUUACCAUUUUUGGCUGCAGAUAGUUGAACUUGAUCCCAUUACAAGAAAUCUCCUCCCAUUCACUAUUACACAAUUUCCAGUACAUGCACUUCAGGAUGUUCACUACUUUCCCUGUCUGGGCCUCAUACAUCUGGGUGACCUUCCCUCCCAUGCAGACAAGAGAGGAAGAAUGCAACACAGGUGACACAGACUUCAGACAGCAUCAGGAAUUAUAAUCAGAAGGCAGGGAACGGAUACCAAAAUCCUGACAGUGCUAACAUCCAAGCACCUGCUGCUCAGGUCAACCAAGCCUCUUGUAAUCAGAGUCUAAUCAGAAUUUGGCAUUAGUCCUUCUCCUUACCUUUUUUACAGACUUCCCACCUUUCCAGGUAAGGGGCAGCAAAGGGCAGUGGCUCCCCGAAGCAGCACAUUUAGUGGUUUAGUGUGGAAGUGUUUGGAACAACAUCCCCACCUGCCGGGCCUUCUCUUUGUUGCAGCCGGCAAUUUAGCAGUAGUCUGAUAGGAAAAGACCUUCCCUUCAACCCAGCACCACAACUCUGGCUCAGAUUUUAACUUGGUGCUGAGACUGACAUUGGGUUAAAACCCCUUCUGGAUACAGGGGCUGGCAGCGCCCAGAAGCGGUGCCCUCCUAGCGUGGCUGAACCUCAAUGGGAGGCUCAGGGAUAAGCAUGCAAAGGACAACUUUCUCCAUGUGAGAGCUCUUCCUCGGAGACUGGGAGUAGGCAAAACAGGGGAGUCAUCUCCAUUCCAACCUACACUUUUUGAAGGCCUGAGUGUGUCAGAAAGAAGAUUAAAUACAUGUGUCAACAUGAAUCAGGCCAUUUACACAACUGAAUCAUCCUGAAGAGAGGGAUGCCUGGAUCAGAACAGAUCCGUCUUCAUCAAAUGUAGCCUGUCAUAAUAAUCACUAUUAAAAAGGCAAAGAGAGGUGGUGUCUACAGCAAUUAUUUAAUCAAACAACAUAUAAAAACAUUUUACAAUGACUGAAAAACCUGACAGAGGCUGUAAUAAGAACAGAAGCUGCAAGGCUACUCAGGUUUAACAUCCUUCCCUUUGUGGGUACCUACUGUGGGUCCAAAACACUUCUCUAUUCAGAUACAAUACUUUAAAUGGUCCUUGCUAAUAACACAAGUAGCAGAAGCCCUACAUCCUGAAGAAGGCAACAAGACUUAUAUUUGGCUUGGUCUACCCUUCUACAUUAAGAAUGCAAGGCAUGGUGGCUGGAGGGAGAUAAUUAUAAAGACAACGUAUCUCGGAUCCAAGAGAACCUCCAUAGCUCUAGCUGGCCAGUAUCAAGUUCUGCACAGAUACAGAGCUGCUCUGCAAGCCUAACAUUAAAGCACUUGCUGACAGAGGCACAUCUCUGAUGUCUCAUCUCA